rnacentral:rRNA from 1 species
CUUUUUACUGGAGGAAGGUGGGGAUGACGUCAAAUCAUCAUGCCCCUUAUGACCUGGGCUACACACGUGCUACAAUGGACAGAACAAAGGGCAGCGAAACCGCGAGGUUAAGCCAAUCCCACAAAUCUGUUCUCAGUUCGGAUCGCAGUCUGCAACUCGACUGCGUGAAGCUGGAAUCGCUAGUAAUCGCGGAUCAGCAUGCCGCGGUGAAUACGUUCCCGGGCCUUGUACACACCGCCCGUCACACCACGAGAGUUUGUAACACCCGAAGUCGGUGAGGUAACCUUUAUGGAGCCAGCC